AUUUAAAUAUCUUAAAAUAAAGUUUAAUAUUGAAAAUAUUAAGAUGAUUAAAAAUCUUUAAAUA
rnacentral:tRNA from 1 species